UAUUGCACAAUGGGCGCAAGCCUGAUGCAGCGACGCCGCGUGAGGGAUGACGGCCUUCGGGUUGUAAACCUCUUUCGCUAGGGAAGAAGCCACUUUUGUGGUGACGGUACCUGGAUGAGAAGCACCGGCUAACUACGGGCCAGCAGCCGCGGUAAUACGUAGGGUGCAAGCGUUGUCCGGAAUGACUGGGCGUAAAGGGCUCGAAGGUGGUUUGUCGCGUCGUCUGUGAAGGCCCGGGGCUUAACUCCGGGUCUGCAGGCGAUACGGGCAUAACUAGAGUGCUGUAGGGGAGACUGGAAUUCCUGGUGUAGCGGUGAAAUGCGCAGAUAUCAGGAGGAACACCGAUGGCGAAGGCAGGUCUCUGGGCAGUAACUGACGCUGAGGAGCGAAAGCAUGGGGAGCGAACAGG
rnacentral:rRNA from 1 species